AUGGACCUCGUCGAAAUCGGCGACGACAUCGAGGUCUUCGCCAGGGUGCAACCUGGGCUGAGCUCGUACGCUGGGCGACCGCAGGAGGCUGCCAAGUCUAUGCUGCCUCUGCUUGGCAAGGCCAAGAGCGUUGUCCCGGGCUCGCUUAUGAAAACGACUCCCCUUAAACUAGGGGCGACGGCUGGACUCAGACUUAUCGGAGAUGAGCAAGCAGAGGAGAUUCUUCAGGCGGUGAGGGAUGUCGUCCACACAGAGAGCAGGUUUCAGUACAAUCCAAAGUGGAUCAACGUUCUUGAGGGAUCUCAAGAAGGAUCUUACAUAUGGGUUGCUCUGAACUAUCUGCUGGACAAAUUGGGAGGAGACUACUCAAAGACGGUAGGUGUGAUUGAUCUUGGCGGUGGGUCGGUGCAAAUGGCGUAUGCGGUUUCUGGAGAUGCUGCGGCGAAUGCUCCGGCUGUUCCUGAUGGCAAGGACCCCUACAUCACCAAGGAAUACCUCAAGGGAAAAGACUACAACGUAUAUGUCCACAGUUACUUGUACUACGGUGGUUUAGCCGCUCGUGUGGAGAUCUUGAAGGCGAAGAAGGGGCCAUUCAGCUCCUGCAUACUCCGUGGAUUCAGUGGUAAGUACACCUACAAUGGCGAGGAGUACGACGCCUCAGCCUCGCCGGAGGGCGCGGCGUACGACAAGUGCAGGGAGGAGAUCGCCAGGGCGCUGAAGCUGGACGCGCCUUGCGCGGCCAAGAACUGCACCUUCGGCGGCGUGUGGAACGGCGGUGGCGGGGCCGGCCAGGACACCAUCUACGUCGCGUCCUUCUUCUACGGCAAGGCCACCCAGGUCGGGUGGGUCGACAAGGGCGCGCCCAGCGCAAAGUCCAGCCCGGCGGCGUACCUGGCUGCCGCCGAGAAGGUGUGCCCGCUCAGCGUCCAGGAAGCCAAGGCCGCGUACCCUGGCCUCCUCGACGUGCCCUACGCCUGCAUGGACCUCGUCUACGAGUACACCCUGCUCGUCGACGGUUUUGGAAUUGCGCCGAGCAAGGAGAUCACGCUGGUGGAGAAGGUGAAGCACGGGGAGUACUUGAUCAAGGCGGCGUGGCCGCUGGGUGAGGCCAUCGAGGCCGUCGCGCCCAAGAAACGACUUGCGCGAUUUCUACUCUAA
rnacentral:rRNA from 1 species